GCUCGCUAAAGCUAGCUGGCACACCCCACUACCUGCGGAGAUGACAGGUGUGGAUCUGCUCCAGGCAAAAUCAUACUCUCCAGACACCAAACUUCCGCUCUGAUUUCCCUCAGUCUCCUCAAUCGAGACCAUGUUUUAUGACAGGGAACGUGUGAAAUUUCUUUCCUGCUCCACAUUAUAAAAUGCUGGUCAAAAUCUCUAUAAUAAAAUGCAAGAAGAAAGGAACUUCCAAUGUCACCGUCAUACUGGGACUUUACAACUCCUCUCAUCGGGUGUUAGGAACACCAGGCACCGGAUGGUCACCUGAUGCCAUCCUUCAAUGUGUUAACAGCUGCAAGAAAUCAGGAAACAAUGCCAAGGGGGAAUGAGCGCCAGACAUCUCUAGUCAAUCACCUUGCUCCCAUUGACUCUUUGUGCCUCCUAUUUCCCCCCUUUUUGAAUGAGAAUGUCUACAGAGGCCACCCUAUGCUUGUGUCAUCCAGAUUGUCAGCUCAUGCAUGGAAUGGAAUGGUGAUAUAAGGAAUCCAAGGUUCUAAUACCCAGGACACUCUCCGGAGCUCAAGUAAGAGAAGGCACAGAGCGCUUGAUUCAAACCUUUACCUCUCCCUGUGACUGAC